rnacentral:lncRNA from 1 species
GCUAGACUUCUUGUGCCUGUGUAUCUUUCAAUAAAUGCAGGCAGAGGAAAGAAAAAAAAUGAAUAUUUAUAAUACCAGGAGAAUGUAAAAAUAUAAUUAGAGAGUGUACAGAUGAUUCUUGAGUAACAGGAUCUGAGGCAGUCGGUACAGUCCUCGUGCACUAUGUAGUAAAAUGAAGAAACUGAUCCUCGUAUAUUGUUGAAUUAUCUCUAGACAGUCAAGCUUC